GCAAAGGCGAUGAAGGUGUUCAGUAGAGGCUUAUUUUCCGGCAGAGAGAGGGAGUCACCGGCUGCAAGCUCCCCCAGGUUCAGAUAAGCGCUUGAAAUUCCCACCGGAGCCGCACAGGUGAAGGCCAAAGGCCGGUAGUCUGUGACGCCGGCACGCGUUAUGUGCAAAUGAGUGUCUGCGCUUUAUGUGGAGCGCAGGAAUCAGGGUGGUACCGCGAGCAUAUUUUUGUCCCGUCCCUUUU
rnacentral:ncRNA from 1 species